GACUUCCUGGAGAACUGUGGUUCUGUUUGUUAGACUCCUGAUCUGGCGAGUGGCUACAAGCCAGGAUACUACACUUAAUUGACAUGUCUUCUUAGACGCCUCUGAUUUGUGACAGUUUUUCAUUCUUUCCUGCUUUUCAUGACCUUGACGCCUUUGAAGAGAAGUG